rnacentral:rRNA from 1 species
CCUACGUGUGGCAGCAGUGGGGAAUAUUGCACAAUGGGGGAAACCCUGAUGCAGCGACGCCGCGUGAGUGAAGAAGUAUUUCGGUAUGUAAAGCUCUAUCAGCCGGGAAGAAAUAGCGACCUUUGGGUCGCCAGACGGUACCUGACUAAGAAGCCCCGGCUCACUACGUGCCAGGCGCCGCGGUAAUACGUAGGGGGCACGCGUUAUCCGGUGUUACGGGGUGUAAAGGGAGCGUAGACGGCAGCGCAAGUCUGAAGUGAAAUGCCGGGGCUUAACCCCGGAACUGCUUUGGAAACUGGGCAUCUAGAGAGAAGGAGAGGUAAGUGGAAUGCGUAGUGUAGCGGUGAAAUGCGUAGAUAUUAGGAGGAACACCAGUGGCGAAGGCGACGAUCUGGCCUGCAACUGACGCUCAGGCCCGAAAGCGUGGGGAGCAAAUAGGAUUAGAUACCCUGGUAGUC